rnacentral:rRNA from 1 species
CCCUUAGACGUUCUGGGCCGCACGCGCGCUACACUGACCAGUGCAACAAGCAUCCGUCCUUGGCCGACAGGCUCGGACAAUCUUUGAACGCUGGUCGUGAUGGGGAUAGACUUUUGCAAUUUUUGGUCUUCAACGAGGAAUUCCUAGUAAACGCGAGUCAUCAACUCGCAUUGAUUACGUCCCUGCCCUUUGUACACACCGCCCGUCGCACCUACUGAUUGAAUGACUCGGUGAAAAAUUGGGACUGUGAAAACAAUUGAUUCAGUUCAAAUGUAUUCGUGGAAACUUUUUUUAACCUCGUUAUUUAGAAGAAGGUGAAGUCGUAACA